rnacentral:rRNA from 1 species
UACGGAGGGAGCUAGCGUUAUUCGGAAUUACUGGGCGUAAAGCGCACGUAGGCGGCUUUGUAAGUAAGAGGUGAAAGCCCAGAGCUCAACUCUGGAAUUGCCUUUUAGACUGCAUCGCUUGAAUCAUGGAGAGGUCAGUGGAAUUCCGAGUGUAGAGGUGAAAUUCGUAGAUAUUCGGAAGAACACCAGUGGCGAAGGCGGCUGACUGGACAUGUAUUGACGCUGAGGCACGAAAGCGUGGGGAGCAAACAGG